rnacentral:misc_RNA from 1 species
AAGUCGUAACAAGGUAACCGUAGGUGAACCUGCGGUUGGAUCAUUAGAAAACGUGCGUCGAUUCGUUCGCGCAGAAAGCCUUUGGGAUGGCACCGGAGCCAAAGAUUCGUCGCUGGAACUUUCCAGUGCCUCCCUUUCAAGGACAUUUUGUGAACCGUUCCGUCUCUGGCGAGAGGGUAGUGAAAGCUACUUGUCAGUACUGCAUUUUUGCAGUGCCGUGGACAUCUCGCCAACCCCUUCUAAACAUAUAAUCUGUAUUUGAUGUCUGACAUUUCUUGUAUAAAUAUACAAAACAACUUUUGGCAACGGAUCUCUUGGCUCUC